rnacentral:lncRNA from 1 species
GGCUCGAUCCCAGGAUCCUGGGAUCACCACCUGAGCUGAAGGCAGCCACCUAACCAACAGUGCCACCCAGGGCUCAGAACCCUUCCACGCUGGCAGAGGAACAGCAGACAAAAGCUUCUGAGCCUGGGACUAACCACUGUCUCUAUCCUCAGCAGGAGCCCCAAUAAGGAGACCUGAAGAGAUGAUGCUGGAUCUUCUGGGACCCUUUCCUCUCCUCCUGUUGCUGUUGGGAUCAUGGGGGCCAGGGCUUCCCCCUGGUGCUAUGGCUCAACUCGCUAGAAGAAAGAAGAAGGGGAGCGGACAGAGUUGUGGACAAGAGUGAUCAGAUACUUUUCUGCUUUGGAGCUCUGUGUGUUUUGAAAGAAGGCAACAGGGAAGAGGGCAAAGAAAUACCCAGGCCCCCUAGUUUCAAUCUUGAAACUUCUGUCAAGCUUUGUUGCAUUGUGUUCACAGCAAUAAAAUCACUUUCUGUUGCACUGUAAUGACCUUAAAUGUGUGUGCCUGGGAUCCCUUUCACAAGCCUGGGGCCAUCUUGAUUGCAGUUGCUCACAUUCUCAGGAGAACUAAUUGGGCCCUAGGUAACUUUUGAGGUUAUACCAUAACCCAAGGCUUCUGCCACUCCCCUUCCUCCCCCAUGUCUUUUGAAUUUUGGAGGAGGAAAGUUCAUCAUCCCUUCAAACUCUGCUCAAGGCU